GGCCACCGAGGAUGCGGUC
rnacentral:miRNA from 1 species